CAUUGUAUUUCCUUUUUCUGCAGAUUUUCAGUUUGCAGUGGGUUAAGAUGUGACAUUUUCUUUAAUCUCUUAGUUUAAAUUCUGUUAGUUUGUCACUUAUUUUAUUUUUUAGUGUAAAUUCCUCAAGGAUCCACUCCAACAUACGGCUUGAGGAGUUCUAAGUGACCAGUGACCCUGCUUGAGUAUUCCUAAGGGAUUUUCCAUGCUAAACCGUACCCAGAUAGUAUUUGCUACACUCUGUCAUAAUGUCUAGCACUAUGCAUACGUCCCAGAAUUAACUAGCUAUUUUCAUCCAGAAGUUUAUUUGCAGUCUCUCUCUGCCAUUCUUGGUAUAGGUCCCUUUGUGUCUAUAUGUCCUUUAUUGGUAUAGAGCCCUUGUGUCUAUCUAUCCUUUAUUCGCAGUCUCUCAGUUUUCAGUGUAAUUGCUCAAGCGAUAUAUGUGUUUCCACCUGUAGGUUUAUUACACAAUUACGCAUGGGGUCUGUUGUCUCAUUUCUUCAAAGAAGAGCAUUUUCUUAAAAGCCAGGAUGGAGUAGCACUGUAUUGUGUAAGGGGACACUCAAGAUCCUUUUUAGUGGAAAAGGAUUUUAGAGGGUUUUGUGUAUGUGGAUGUGUGAAUCGACUCCCAUGUAUUGCAAAGUAGGACUGUGACCUUUUUUCAGUCUUUAGUUGUUGGUGCAGCAUUUUCCUAACUUUUUUUUUUUUUGUCAAAACUCCAUGCAGAUUCAUCUUUUGUUCGAUUUUGGCACUAUCAGCGAGUAUAAGGAUGUAAUUUAAGUGUUUUUCUGACACAUGAAAGUUGAGCUUUUCGUUUCUAAUACAUGUGUGCAUCUUCUGCCCUGGAACGAAAAAAUCUUCAAGAAAUGAAGGUAGCUAUGAGGAUCUAUGUAAGGGAGUUCAGGGACCGUACCUUAGCAUCUCCAAUUCGAAGCAUGGUUUCUUGCAAUCCAGAGAGGAGGGACUGCUUGGAAGUAGUGGUUGAAAGAAGUGGUUGGAGCACAUGAACUGUUUUGCUUGCUGGAGAAGAAGGUCGAACAGGUACAAGAUGCACGCGAGCUUUUUACUGAUUAUGGGAUUUCCUCUGUAAUGGGUUUUUCAGAACUCAACAUUGACUCAACUCAGAAAUCAAUGGGACUCAAACACAUGCCGUGUAACGAAAAUGUAUCUGUUUUGCUAGACUGAAACAGACAGUUUUUGAUUAAUUGAGUUGUUUUCUCUGGUA